UAAGUAGAUUUUGAGAGUUAAUGUAUUUGUUUACUUUCUACAAAUAUUUUAUUAACGGUAGACUCGCAGGGUGCUGAACACGUAUUUUAGUGAAAGUUGAAAUUAAUUAUUUAAAAAAAGUUUUUAUAAUUUUUGUGCAACAAACGCAGAUCAAAUUAUGGGUCGAGGGUGUUAUUUGUCCCCAAGGAAAAAAUCAGAGAUUAAAACUCUUCUCCAGCACAUAAGCCAUUCGCAAAGGAACAUAGCAGAACUAGCUGGAGUUUCUAAAACAGAAGUGAAUAAAAUAAAGAUUAGUUUGGAUCAAAAUCAAUCACUUUCGCCAAAAAGAAAGGGCAAGAGUGGAAGAAAACGCAUAACAACAUCACGAUCUGACCGGAAAAUUCGGGACAUCUGCUUGCAAAACAGGAAGAAAAGUGCUGGGCUCUUAACUCAAUUAGUUCAAGAGUCUGGAGUAGUAGUAUCCAAAAGAACCGUGCAGCGAAGGUUAGCAGAAGAAGGGUUGACUGGUGAUCGUCCUGCUAAGGAAAACUCGGUUAACAGUUGCGAUGAAGAAAAAACGUCUUGCCUGGGCCCAAAAAUACCGCCAGAAGACUGAUGAGGACUGGAGUAAGGUAUGUUUUUCAGAGGAGUCAACCUUUGAAAUUCUGGCCGACAAGAGCAGCUUCGUCCAGGCGAAAAAUGUCACCCUGACUGCAUUGUGGAGAGGGUUAAACACCCUGUUAAAAUAAUGGUGUGGUCUGUCAUAAGUGCUAAAGGGGUUGGACGUCUCUACAUUGUCCAGGGUACCAUGAGACAAGACCAAUACAGACAAGUUCUGGAAACUCGACUGUUACCGCAACUUAAGGAUUGGUUCCCAGACGGUGAGGAAUUAAUUUUUAUGCAUGAUUCAGCGCCAUGUCAUAAAGCAAGAAGCAUAACCAAAUUUCUGGCAGACCAUAACAUUCCAGUUUUACCUUGGCCUGGCAAUUUACCUGACAUGAACCCCAUAGAAAAUUUAUGGCAGAUUACCAAGGCCGAAAUUGCCAAAGAGAUAAUAAUUACCGAGGUAAAAUUGAUUGAAAGUUAAUAAAUGUAUGGCACUACAACCCCAUGAUUAAAGAAAGUGCCUUAACGUGCAUAGAAAGUAUGCCCAGACGGAUUAAAGCACUCAUUGAGGCGAAAGGAAAUGUGACUAAAUACUGAUUAUUAAUCAGAAAUAUUUUAUCUCGCUCAUAUGUAUAUUUUUGAAAUAAUUAUUUUUAUUUUUUUGUUCUUAUGUUAGUUUGUAAAUUACUCUUUUAUUAUUAUUAAAGCUU